rnacentral:lncRNA from 1 species
GAUUGGAGGUAAUUAUGAAUGCAUUGUAUUAAAAAUAGAAAAAACUUCAAAUACCCCGGUGGUUUCAUUCUUUCUCAUCUCAGUAUCCUGUUAUUUAAAGUGUAUUAAAUUAGUACCCUGUGAUUUUACACUUUCUCACUUUAGUAUCCUGUGGUUUAAUAUCUUAUGGUUUAAAGUGUCUUACCCUGUGGUUUCGCACUUUAUCACUUUAGUACCCUGUGGUUUAAUAUUUCAUUAAGAGAAAAAUAAAACCACGGGGUACUAAUUAACUUGAUACAAAAAUAAAAUGACAGAAUACUAACUUGAUACAUUUUAAACCAUAGAGUACUAAAGUGAGAAAGUGCGAAACCACAGGGUACUAACUACAGGGUACUAACUUGAUACACUUUAAACCGCAGGGCACUAAAAUGAAAAAGUGCAAAACCACGGGGGGUUUCUUGAAGUUUUCCCUAAUUUAUUUAGGCUUCAUUUGAAAUUGUAGGGAGAUUGUGUUAUGCACGAUCAGAAAGGAUAAUAAAAAAAAAUGUUGUUUGUUUCCGUAUGUAAUAUUACAUUGCAUGUAUCGCAAUUAAUCGGUUAUGAUAUAUUUUCUGCGGUCUAAUCAGAGAACGCAGAAGCAUAUCUUUAUAUAUUUUUUCCUCAACUCCAUUUUAUCUAAUGCGUCAGAGAGAUUUCAAUACCAAACUAAGCCUUAGUUGUGUAAGAUUAAGAAGUGCGUUUAUAAAUUUUUAUCAUUUUAUUUAUGAAAUAGGAGCUAGGCUACUAUGCUCUUGGUGGCACGGAGGCUUCCGUACUAUCAAAUUGUUUUCAAUAAUGUGGCUUUCAAAUCAAUGAUCGGCUUCAUUAGAGUUGAUCUAUACUAUUGAAAAUAUUUGAAAACUAAUUUCAUAAAUUUUCGACAUUAUUUAGUUAGUGAUCAAAAGUUCUCAAAAUUGAUAGUUUUAAUGGUCGAUGUGAUGCGUUUGUGAAUUUAACGGUGUAAAAUAAUUUAAAUCUGAUAAAAUUUUUAUAGAAAAAUCUUUUCAUUAUUUAGAGUAAGAUUAAUAUCUCUGAUCUUAAAUUCAAGUCAUUUAUCAUUAUUUUUAUGAGAUUUUUAUUUUUUAACCAUUCAUUUUUAGGUUACUUGUUUGAUAGGUAAAUAAUAUCAAAAAAUUAUGAAAUUUAGUUUUCAAAUACCUUCAAUAAUAUAUAUCAAGCUUAAUGUGUCGCAUCAUCGAAAAAUAAUAUGAUAGUACGGAAGCCUCCGUACUAUUGAUAAUAUAACAGUUGGACUUAUGAGAUGAUGAUAUUAUCUUUUAUGUAAAAAAAAAAUUAUAUUUAAAAAAUAUUUUAGUUAAUAAAUAUAUUUUGGUCAAAAUAUAAAAAUUAUUUUUUUAAAUAUUUAUAUUUAAAAGAAUAUUUGAGAAAGAUUUUUGAAAUCAAUAGAAGAACUUU